GGGUUGUGAGGUUAAGCGACUAAGCGUACACGGUGGAUGCCCUGGCAGUCAGAGGCGAUGAAGGACGUGCUAAUCUGCGAUAAGCGUCGGUAAGGUGAUAUGAACCGUUAUAACCGGCGAUUUCCGAAUGGGGAAACCCAGUGUGUUUCGACACACUAUCAUUAACUGAAUCCAUAGGUUAAUGAGGCGAACCGGGGGAACUGAAACAUCUAAGUACCCCGAGGAAAAGAAAUCAACCGAGAUUCCCCCAGUAGCGGCGAGCGAACGGGGAGCAGCCCAGAGCCUGAAUCAGUGUGUGUGUUAGUGGAAGCGUCUGGAAAGGCGCGCGAUACAGGGUGACAGCCCCGUACACAAAAAUGCACAUGCUGUGAGCUCGAUGAGUAGGGCGGGACACGUGGUAUCCUGUCUGAAUAUGGGGGGACCAUCCUCCAAGGCUAAAUACUCCUGACUGACCGAUAGUGAACCAGUACCGUGAGGGAAAGGCGAAAAGAACCCCGGCGAGGGGAGUGAAAAAGAACCUGAAACCGUGUACGUACAAGCAGUGGGAGCACGCUUAGGCGUGUGACUGCGUACCUUUUGUAUAAUGGGUCAGCGACUUAUAUUCUGUAGCAAGGUUAACCGAAUAGGGGAGCCGAAGGGAAACCGAGUCUUAACUGGGCGUUAAGUUGCAGGGUAUAGACCCGAAACCCGGUGAUCUAGCCAUGGGCAGGUUGAAGGUUGGGUAACACUAACUGGAGGACCGAACCGACUAAUGUUGAAAAAUUAGCGGAUGACUUGUGGCUGGGGGUGAAAGGCCAAUCAAACCGGGAGAUAGCUGGUUCUCCCCGAAAGCUAUUUAGGUAGCGCCUCGUGAAUUCAUCUCCGGGGGUAGAGCACUGUUUCGGCAAGGGGGUCAUCCCGACUUACCAACCCGAUGCAAACUGCGAAUACCGGAGAAUGUUAUCACGGGAGACACACGGCGGGUGCUAACGUCCGUCGUGAAGAGGGAAACAACCCAGACCGCCAGCUAAGGUCCCAAAGUCAUGGUUAAGUGGGAAACGAUGUGGGAAGGCCCAGACAGCCAGGAUGUUGGCUUAGAAGCAGCCAUCAUUUAAAGAAAGCGUAAUAGCUCACUGGUCGAGUCGGCCUGCGCGGAAGAUGUAACGGGGCUAAACCAUGCACCGAAGCUGCGGCAGCGACGCUUAUGCGUUGUUGGGUAGGGGAGCGUUCUGUAAGCCUGCGAAGGUGUGCUGUGAGGCAUGCUGGAGGUAUCAGAAGUGCGAAUGCUGACAUAAGUAACGAUAAAGCGGGUGAAAAGCCCGCUCGCCGGAAGACCAAGGGUUCCUGUCCAACGUUAAUCGGGGCAGGGUGAGUCGACCCCUAAGGCGAGGCCGAAAGGCGUAGUCGAUGGGAAACAGGUUAAUAUUCCUGUACUUGGUGUUACUGCGAAGGGGGGACGGAGAAGGCUAUGUUGGCCGGGCGACGGUUGUCCCGGUUUAAGCGUGUAGGCUGGUUUUCCAGGCAAAUCCGGAAAAUCAAGGCUGAGGCGUGAUGACGAGGUACUACGGUGCUGAAGCAACAAAUGCCCUGCUUCCAGGAAAAGCCUCUAAGCAUCAGGUAACAUCAAAUCGUACCCCAAACCGACACAGGUGGUCAGGUAGAGAAUACCAAGGCGCUUGAGAGAACUCGGGUGAAGGAACUAGGCAAAAUGGUGCCGUAACUUCGGGAGAAGGCACGCUGAUAUGUAGGUGAAGUCCCUCGCGGAUGGAGCUGAAAUCAGUCGAAGAUACCAGCUGGCUGCAACUGUUUAUUAAAAACACAGCACUGUGCAAACACGAAAGUGGACGUAUACGGUGUGACGCCUGCCCGGUGCCGGAAGGUUAAUUGAUGGGGUCAGCGCAAGCGAAGCUCUUGAUCGAAGCCCCGGUAAACGGCGGCCGUAACUAUAACGGUCCUAAGGUAGCGAAAUUCCUUGUCGGGUAAGUUCCGACCUGCACGAAUGGCGUAAUGAUGGCCAGGCUGUCUCCACCCGAGACUCAGUGAAAUUGAACUCGCUGUGAAGAUGCAGUGUACCCGCGGCAAGACGGAAAGACCCCGUGAACCUUUACUAUAGCUUGACACUGAACAUUGAGCCUUGAUGUGUAGGAUAGGUGGGAGGCUUUGAAGUGUGGACGCCAGUCUGCAUGGAGCCGACCUUGAAAUACCACCCUUUAAUGUUUGAUGUUCUAACGUUGACCCGUAAUCCGGGUUGCGGACAGUGUCUGGUGGGUAGUUUGACUGGGGCGGUCUCCUCCUAAAGAGUAACGGAGGAGCACGAAGGUUGGCUAAUCCUGGUCGGACAUCAGGAGGUUAGUGCAAUGGCAUAAGCCAGCUUGACUGCGAGCGUGACGGCGCGAGCAGGUGCGAAAGCAGGUCAUAGUGAUCCGGUGGUUCUGAAUGGAAGGGCCAUCGCUCAACGGAUAAAAGGUACUCCGGGGAUAACAGGCUGAUACCGCCCAAGAGUUCAUAUCGACGGCGGUGUUUGGCACCUCGAUGUCGGCUCAUCACAUCCUGGGGCUGAAGUAGGUCCCAAGGGUAUGGCUGUUCGCCAUUUAAAGUGGUACGCGAGCUGGGUUUAGAACGUCGUGAGACAGUUCGGUCCCUAUCUGCCGUGGGCGCUGGAGAAUUGAGGGGGGCUGCUCCUAGUACGAGAGGACCGGAGUGGACGCAUCACUGGUGUUCGGGUUGUCAUGCCAAUGGCACUGCCCGGUAGCUAAAUGCGGAAGAGAUAAGUGCUGAAAGCAUCUAAGCACGAAACUUGCCCCGAGAUGAGUUCUCCCUGACUCCUUGAGAGUCCUGAAGGAACGUUGAAGACGACGACGUUGAUAGGCCGGGUGUGUAAGCGCAGCGAUGCGUUGAGCUAACCGGUACUAAUGAACCGUGAGGCUUAACCUUACAACGCCGAAGCUGUU
rnacentral:rRNA from 1 species